rnacentral:misc_RNA from 1 species
AACGCACGAGACCUGCGGACCUGCGGAAGGAUCAUUAACGAGUUAGGGUCCCUAACCGGCCCGACCUCCCAACCCUGUGUCUAUCGCACCUUUUGUUGCUUCGGCGGGCCCGUUCCCCUUGGGGGCCGCCGGGGGACCGUCGAGAGACGUCCCCUGGCCCGCGCCCGCCGGUGGCCAACCUUUAACAAACUCUUAAACAAUGAAUCGUGUAUUCUCGUGUCUAAGUCCUUGAUUAAAUCA